rnacentral:misc_RNA from 1 species
UUGUGGUGGGAAGCUACGGGAGCAUCCGCUCCAGCAGUUUUGAACAUCCACUUGCAUGAACGCAAUGAAAGCCAAGUCAAGCGGUGUUCGAUGCUUUCCGGUGCGCCUUUUCUCCCUUCCACAAUGCGACAAUGCUACCGUUCACUUCGAUAAAGCGUGCGUACGUGAGUGUUGAGAGCCAGCCGUGUCGUGUUCGGUCGCAGGUAGUGCAUUCUAGUCGCAAUUAUGCAUAGAGUUAGCUGACUAUAGGACUUUUCAGAACGUGAUCGUGAUGAGUUUAACGUCAGCCGGCUUGAAGUGCAGAGAUUUGCACGCGUACCUGAAAACGCUUUCGCCGGCUACGCUGGACAAGCUCUACACUCAUCCAGCGACAUGCUUGGCCGUUUUUCGAGAGCUGCCAAUCAUAUCACGUCAUUAUAUUAUGCGAUUGCUGUUUGUUGAACAGCCUGUACCGCAAGCUGUAGUUUCAUCUUGGAAUGAACAAAAAUAUGUCAAAGACCAUUUGGAGGCACUUGAGGCACUCACUGCACUGCACAUUUGGACAGACUCCAGCCUUCCUGGUGGACUUCCAGGCUGGUCGUUAAGUGCAGUGUUUAGAAAGAACAUCCAGAUAGCACUCCUUGGAGGUGGAAAACCAUGGGCUGUUUACAGUGUACUUGAAAAGGACAAGCAUGGAAGAGACGCAGCCUUCCUAGACCAAUAUGCUGCUGAACGAUGGGAGUGUGUCCUUCAUUUCAUGGUGGGUUGUCAUACAACAGAAGGCAUAAGUGCAGAUGCAGUACGAAUACUCCUCCAUGCUGGACUCAUGAAAUCGGAAGAAGGCGAAGGAAGCUCCCCUUUGAUAACAAUGGAGGGCUUUCAGUUUUUGCUGAUGGACACAGCUUCCCAAGUGUGGCAUUUUGUACUUCAGUACUUGGACACUCUGGAGUCAAGAGGCCUGAACCUGGUGGAAUGUCUGACCUUCCUUUUCCAGCUCAGUUUCCUCACACUUGGGAAGGAUUACAGCACUGAAGGCAUGUCAGAAUCCCUGCUAGUGUUCCUGCAGCAUCUCAGGGAGUUUGGACUUGUUUAUCAAAGGAAGCGGAGGUCAGGUCGAUUCUACCCAACACGGCUUGCCAUUAACCUUGCAUCUGGACUGAAGGAGACGACCCUGCGCAGCUUUGAGGCAGGUUAUAUAAUGGUUGAGACCAACUACAGGGUGUACGCAUACACAAAUUGUUUGAAUCGACCGAACCGACGCAAGGCAAGCCAUGGCCAGGUGCUGAACCACUGGGCCUUAGGCCUAUUGUGGCAGCAGAAUAUUGAUGGCAGCUUUCAACUGCAACCUGCAGAAAAAAUAAAUUGCUUUGGUUACUGUGGUGCUUCUGUUUCAUCAAGGUUACGUUUGCAGCUAGUGGCAGCUGUAGCAGUGCUGUACACCUCUGCUGUUCUUAUUAGAUCAUAUUGCGCCUCUGUUAACUGCAUGCAUGUGCUGUACAUGAUGGUGCACAGCAUCCAUGCACAGACACAGUGCAUAUUCACAUGUGAAAAAGACUCCAUACAAAGCAGGCCUUCAGCAUGCAAUAAAGGGAGCAGAUACAUGGCUCUUUAACAGUUUCUACGAGUCAUAUGAAUAGUUAGACAAGAUUUAUUCAACAAAAAUAUAAAGGAAAACAGCAUGUAUAUUACUGCAAAUAAUGCAUCCUUUUAGUAGAGGUAGUGAGUGCCUUGUGUCACUUUAAAUUACAGUCAAGUCAGCUGCUUUGCCAACCAGCUUUGGUAGUUCCUUUAGGGGAUAUAGAGAAGUUCAACAAGAUGUGUUUCUCAAGUGCAAGAUAUUCAGUUGUAGGAUGCAUAAGGGAGCCUAAAGAGUUACAUAGCAUUUAAAAUAAUUUGAUUUUUUUUUGCAUUGCUGAGAAGUACAGACCCCUUAAGCACCUCCAAAAAAUUGCCCUCUGCACUUAUGUAGCAUGCCUGAUGUCAAUGUGUCAAGUACUAUUGCAUUAGCAUGGCCACAAUGAUCUGCUGAGCCAUGAUUGACAAUUCUGAGUCGGUGCCUUGACUGCACACGAUCACGUUUUGGCUGCAGCUCUGCCUAGGACAUGUAUUUUAAAUAGCUGACUCUCAGUUGGGCUGUUCUUGUAGGCAGACUUGUGAAAAAAACAUUUGCAGGUAAAUACUUCAAGGAAUUUACUAAUAAGAGUGGUGUCGUGGAAAACAUCCACACUACUAAAAUUUGGUUUGACUGAAGUUCAAGUGAAAUUUAUUUCAGUGGAUUACAUUGGCAGCUUCUUGGGGUAUAUUGUAAAUGUUAAUUCAUCUGAAUGGCUUUGUCAGAUGGUAUUUCACUGUAUUCAUUCUUCCAUUAAUUUAAGCGUUUUGAAGGCCUUGAUGGACAUUACAAAGUGGGGAUAACAGGUAAUAAAAUUGGCAACAGUGAUAUAUAUGACAGUUCUCAAGAGAUAUUAUGAUGCGAACUGCUUUAUAUUGGCAAUCUAUUGAUAUCGCUAUCCAUUAAUAUUGCAAGCAGUUGGAACCAGUUUACAGUUGAACCCACUUAUAGCAAUAUUGACUAGAGUAGUAUAUUAGCUAUGACAGUGGACAGCUGCGGCACCAUCAGUGCCUACAUAUGUUUUAUGGUAAAAUAAAUUCCGUAUUGCAGUGCUGCCAAGCGCCAUUAUUGUACUGUAGCAAUAAGGUCUGGCAUGCGCUAGCCAACAUUAAAUAAUUGGAAGGUCCAAGCAACAUGCAAAAGCCACCAGCACCAUCCCGCAACUUCAACCGAUCCAUGAUGCACCUUUAUGCAACAAGCACGUUAGUCAGCCUUUCCCCCCUCGGAAGAGGUAAUCAACAGCUCUCUAUAGAGCUGAUGGGCUGAAGGUUGACGCAUAAAUACAGAAGAAGUUUGUAGAAGCGGGAACUCCCAGUAUCUCGUUCCUCCAGGGCCUGGUCCCAACCUAUUUCAGCAUUGUUGGUCACACGACCCAUGUUUUUUUUGCAUUGUAGGUCAUGCAUAGUCAGCUGCUGCAGCUACCAUAGCAGUGUGCUUGGCACAUGGCACCAUAUUCGCCUGUCUAUGGUUCUCUCCCUUUGGAGUUUGUUUAUGCAACGAUGGAGGGCACUCCAACAUUGCCUCCGCUAAGAGUUGCAGCACAGUCAGCAAAAAGAAAACAUACAGCCAUAGCACUUGAAACAUUGUGCAACAUCGGGAAGGAUCGCAAGAAUGGCAAGAAUAUGCAUGAGUCGAUGGAGAAGUACCAGCUUUCUCAGCCAACGGUUUCUCACAUUAUCUGCUCCUCAAGCAUGUUACUUCCAGACUAGAGCAAUGUAAAGAAUAGUGGAUGAAGGAGGAUUCAGCAGUGAGCCCAUAAAGAUGCGAAGGAUGCUCCUUGCCUGAAGUAUCUGAAGUUUAAAGUUUGUUGUUUGGCUGCAACCCAACUUGACGAUCAAGCUGCUAAUGGCAAUCUGGUUUUUUUUUAGAGCAUGGUCAGAGGUCCGCCCUUCCACUGUGAAGAACCGCUUCAAAAAAAGUGGGCUUUGUUUGGGAUGCUGCAAGUGAUGCAGAGGCUUGAGAAGUUUCUGCUGAUGAAGCACUGGUCAACAGCAGUGGUCAACAGCAAUGCGUCGGUGUUGUAGGAUUUUCUGGAUUCCAAUGACAUUGUAGAGACUUUUAAGCCUAUGAUGGAGAGACGAUUCUUGCUUUGUUGCUAGAGUGUGACAACAUUGACAAAAGUACAUUGACGACAUACAAGAACAGCCUGCCAAGUAAUGUGAUUUGAAGAAGCCCUGUACACAAUUGAGUCCUUCCAGACUUCACUUUUGCUUAAGACCUUCUACUUCAGUGCGUGGAAAAUUUAGACAUGCUUCGAAAAGAUAUGUGGACUGCACGUGAAGCAGGCGAAGUUGACCGAUUAUGGACUUUCUGCUGUGAGGCAAUUCUCAACUCCAGGUGGCCCUGCUAGCAUUAUUUUGUGAACUCUUGUACAG